CGGGGGGAGCAAGCGUUGUUCGGAUUUACUGGGCGUAAAGGGCGCGUAGGCGGCGUGACAAGUCACUUGUGAAAUCUCCGGGCUUAACCCGGAGCGGCCAAGUGAUACUGUCGUGCUAGAGUGCGGAAGGGGCUACUGGAAUUCUCGGUGUAGCGGUGAAAUGCGUAGAUAUCGAGAGGAACACCUGCGGCGAAGGCGGGUAGCUGGGCCGACACUGACGCUGAGGCGCGAAAGCCAGGGGAGCGAACGGGAUUAGAUACCCCGGUAGUCCUGGCCUUAAACGAUGGAUGCUUGGUGUCCGAGGUUACAUAGUCCUCGGGUGCCGGCGCUAACGCAUUAAGCAUCCCGCCUGGGGAGUACGGUCGCAAGACUG
rnacentral:rRNA from 1 species